rnacentral:rRNA from 1 species
UACGAAGGGGGCUAGCGUUGCUCGGAAUCACUGGGCGUAAAGCGCACGUAGGCGGACUCUUAAGUCGGUGGUGAAAUCCUGGAGCUCAACUCCAGAACUGCCUUCGAUACUGAGAGUCUCGAGUCCGGGAGAGGUGAGUGGAACUGCGAGUGUAGAGGUGAAAUUCGUAGAUAUUCGGCAAGAACACCAGUGGCGAAGGCGGCUCACUGGCCCGGUACUGACGCUGAGGUGCGAAAGCGUGGGGAGCAAACAGG